CCCGGGCUUUUUCCACUGAGCCACGCUGCUUCUCAUGGGGCUCGCGUGGAAGUUGGUGUUGGAAUAAGGACCUGUGAGGCUAUGCAUCUGAAAUCCCAAGCCACGAGGGCAUUUUCUUUUGAAACUUAUCCAGACAAAUAAAUAUCUCAGCUGGAGCUCCUCUCCAGCGCUAGACAUAAACAGGUGAAAUGGUUCACGUGGAAAGAUUCCCUGGCAAUGAAUCAAAUGUCCCAGUCUCUUCAGCUGCUGUCUCUGCAUCCACCCAGGAUUUCCCAAAGAGUGAAGCAUGAAACCUCCAAGAGGUUAGCUUAGGCAGCCACUACACCGCCUUAGGAGCCCAGCUGGUAAUUCCUCGCACAGAAGGAUGGAAGGAAGUUUCUCACUUCUCUGUGACUAGGGGUCGCCCAUCGCGGCAGACGGUGGCCCUCCCGAAGCGCGACACUUUAGCAGCCACGAUGGAAGCCGAGGGUCACAUCUGUGGCUAAUGAAGGUGCCCGGCCGGAGGAGAGGAUUCCCCGGGAGCGGCCUCCUGUUGACUCAGCCCCGGGCGCAGCGUGUCGCCCAACCCCCAGCUCCUCUGCCGCUCCGCCCCCGAGGGAAGCCAACAUGUUGCGGAGGAGCUAUGUCACGGCGCAGCAGCUGGCGGGCUUCGAUCGCUACAAGUACAAUGCUGUUGAUACAAACCCUUUAUCAGUGUAUGUUAUGCAACACCUUUGGAACAGAAUUGUUAAGAUAGUGCCAUUGUGGAUUGCUCCUAAUCUGCUUACCUUUUCUGGAUUCUUGUUGAUUUUGAUUAAUUAUUUGAUAUUAUGUCUUUAUGACUGGGAUUAUUCUGCAUCAGGUUCUGGACGUAUUCCAAAUUGGGUGUGGUGGUUUGCUGCUCUGUCUACCUUUUGUGCUUACACUUUAGAUUCUAUAGAUGGGAAACAUGCUCGGAGGACUCAGUCCUGUACCCCUUUAGGAGAGCUAUUUGAUCAUGGGCUGGAUAGCUGGGCUAUCUCCCUUUUCAUUCUCUCUUGGUUCUCUGCAUGUGCAAGUCCAGAGGGGACUCCUGGAGUUUCUGUGCACACGAUGUAUUUGUCGCUGAUCGUUGUCUUGUUUAACUUCAUGUUUUCCCACUGGGAAAAAUAUAAUACUGGAGUUCUCUUUCUCCCUUGGGGAUACGAUCUAAGUCAAGUGGCACUAGUAGCAGCAUAUGUGCUGACUGCUUCAGUUGGUGUUGAAAUAUGGUAUAGGCCUUUGGUGUUCGGUUAUUACAUCACAGCUGUACUAAUGACCUUGAUUAUAGGCUGCAGCAUAUUUCUUUCUCUCCCCCAGACAUUGCACAAUAUUCACAUGGCAUAUGUGAAGAAAACCCUGAAGAAAGAUUCUUUAUAUGAAGCACUUUUACCUCUGGUGUCACCUGUUAUCCUGUUUCUCCUCCUCACUGCCUGGGUGGCUUUAUCUCCAUGUGACAUACUAAUCAAACAACCCAGACUAUUUUUGUGGAUGGUUGGUGUUGCCUUCUCCAAUGUUACUUGCAGGGUGAUUAUUUGCCAGAUGAGUAACACCAGAUCUGAACCUUUCCACUGGCUGCUGUUUCCAUUAGCUGUUGUGGUCUUUGCAGCAAUAACAGGGCUUCUUGGAAGGCUAGAGGAAUCAAUACUGACUGUGCUGACUGUUCUGGCCACGGCCGCUCACGUGCACUAUGGACUGUGUGUGGGUCGUCAGUUGAGUCAACACUUCAACAUUUACACCUUUUCUAUGAAGAAACCAGUCCAGGAAUAAGCACUUUUCCACACAGAAAGAAUCCAGUUCUUCUGUGGCUUUCUGAAGCAAGAGUUUCUUCAGGAAGGGAGACCUACUGGACCCAAAUGAGCAAAGCAUCGUCACUCACUCAAUGAACAUAACGGACUAAAUAUUCAACCUGGUAUGCUUCUUUAUGUUUAAAGUCCAGCGUUCCCCAGCUCCCACCUUGAAGAGAUCUCCCAGGCAUGGGUGGCUGUAUGGUCGGGCAAGGCCCAUUGACAACUCACCUGGCCAGGGCAAGGAAAAAGCACUUUUGAAGCAUGAUGCAGACUACUGCCCAGAACCUAUUUGCCAGGUACUGUGAUCUGAGUUGGAUGCCAACCUAACCAACCUCUUCUCCUGGCUGAACGCGAUCUCUGCUCCAUUAACUAGAGCAGAGGGGUUAAGCAGACCCAUAUGCCAACCAUACAGGGGUUUCUGUUGGAAUACAUGACUUCUAACGGUGGAGUGAAUGUUCACAAUGCUCUGUGCACUCAGACUUGGUGUGUAUACAGAUAAGGUAACAUAAGUCUUAAUGAUAGCAUGAAUUUGCACCCACCUUUGAACUUGAAGGAGAAUGUGAAUUGACCCAUCCCCUUUUGGUCUUCAGUUUAGUAUUUUGGCUUCAGGGAUCUGAGAAGCACCUCAGAAUUUAAUUUAGGCAGGCUCCCCAAAAUCUUUCACCUCUUAACUUCAACACCCCCACCCCUCCACUCUCCCUACUCAUAAUCUCACUAAUAGGGUAAUGAUGGAAUACUUCAAGAUUUAUUGUGGAUUCAAUAAGAUGGAAUAAAUAUAUCUUAUUCUGAGCAUAUGUGAAUGAUUGAUGACUUUUUUUCCAGAAAGUGGCUCUUUGUUUGGGUGACUGUCACCUUAAAAUAUAUCUGUGGGGUUAUCAACUAUUUAUGGGAAUGAAACUGGCCCCUUUUUAUAUUCUGCUGUUUCCAGCGUGAGGUCUCUCACCAUUGGGAGAGGCUCAGAGACUGUAUUCUGACCCUCAUGUCUCAAUCUGAAAGGAAAUCAGAGGUAAUUCAAUCCUGUCCCCUUUAGUAUUUUCACAUAUUUUCCUACAUCCUUUCCUACCUUUAAAAAAUGGUUCCUCUAAGUGCAUAGUAACAGAACUCUGAUAUGGUAAGGAAACCAAAACUGACCUCUAGAUGGUGCUUGAAAGCAAUUUAGAUGUCUACUUUCCCCCUUUAUCCUCUGUCCUUCUCAGUCCCCUUUGACUUUUGUGGCAUAAUCUAUUCUUGCCCCUGAGCUAGUUUCAUGAUUUUCUUCCUCAGUUCAUUUCCAGUUGGGUUUUUAAGUAAGAAAGAACACCCAUCCAGAAGCCAAUUUACCAUUUAGUUUCUCUGUCUCAGGAGGUUUAUGGAAACUUUCUCAAGUGCCGCAGGUGUUGCUUACCCUCUUCCAGCAGCUUUCUCUGGAACCACCCCUCUCUGGGCUUAUCUGAUGGAGGUACAGCACUGGUUCUUUGUAAGUGGAAAAGUUUUCAGAAGGUGAGAAAUACUGCCUACUAUUUUGUAUUUGGUAUUUGCAGAGAUAAAUUUUUAAAAAUUGAUAUAGUUACCAGAUUCUUAGAGAAGGAGGCUCUGAAUCCUAAAUGUUGACUCCCACUAAGUCUUCCGCUAGCAAGGGCUAUCGUAAUGCUAGGCGUGUAGUGUACGAUAUGUGUAAAGAUAUAUAGAAUUCAACAGUUACGUAACCACAUCCCAAAUAAGCACAGGCCUAACAGAAACUUUAAGUAGUCUGUACAUCUGGGCAGAUUUUAACAUAUACCUUUUUUUAUUAAAUAUGUAAAAAGAUAAA